rnacentral:rRNA from 1 species
UACGAAGGGGGCUAGCGUUGUUCGGAUUUACUGGGCGUAAAGCGCACGUAGGCGGAUUGUUAAGUCGGGGGUGAAAUCCUGGAGCUCAACUUCAGAAUUGCCUUCGAUACUGGCUUUCUAGAGGCUGGAAGAGGUUAGUGGAAUUCCCAGUGUAGAGGUGAAAUUCGUAGAUAUUGGGAAGAACACCAGUGGCGAAGGCGAGUCCCUGGAAAAUACCUGACACUGAGGCACGAAAGCUAGGGGAGCAAACAGG